rnacentral:lncRNA from 1 species
AUUUUAUUUGUGGUUGUUAUUUUUCAUAUAAUCUGAUAAAAGUGAGAUUUCACUGUGAACGUACUCUAAAAUUGCCUCCUAAGUAAAUUAGCAUGUUAUCUUGUUGGGAUAAUAGGCCCACCCCUCUUCUGUUUCCUCACACCGAGUUGAAGCUUUACAUUUCAGCCCUCGGGGCUUUAGCAUUAUUAUUUUUAAUGACUGAACACAAGUCUUUCAUUUAGCUUGUUUGUAUAGUCACUGUAAAUGAUCUUUCUGCUGCUGGCUCUCCAUUUGCCAUUCUGCAUGUUAUGCCAGCUUUAAAAGCUUUGAGGGGGCCUCUGAGAGUUGGGAGCUGUGUUAAGCACAGCGUCUUCUAACAGCACUGGAAACGGGCUGUGGCAGAAUAGGCAGGGUGUGAGGAAGGUGUGCCUGUGCGUAGAAAGCCAAGUGUGGAUUUGAGUGGUGUGCACGGCACAUACACUGUUGUAGAUGGCAGGUGAGAGCCCUCGGCAGUGUAAAGGAACAGCCGCUCGCCAGGCUGCUGCUGUCUUGUCCCUGCGUGUUUGUGGGCAUUUUGACUUGCAUCCAUGCAUCUCCUAGCUUCUGUAGCCGUGGCACCUAAGACUGCAGUGCCUAGGUUCCAGAAGUAAGCUAAGAAGACCUGGCAGGACACUCUCAGAGGUGAAAUGCUGUCCAGCAAGGCCCUAGGCUUUAUGGAGGAGGCGCUCGCUUGAGCUCUUGCUAACCAGGUGUGAGAGUUGGAUAUUUGCUAAUUCACUAGCAAAGCCAAUCGUUCUGUCUGUGGGGCCUGCCAAUGACAGAGCUGGAGAAAGCCAUGGGGACUGGGAGGGGGUGGUGGAGGGGGAAACAUCACACUAUAUUUGAAGGGGGUCCUGUUUAGCCCUGCAAGGAAGACAGGAUUCGCACUCCCAGGACUUCCCCCCAGUUUCAAGAGAAAACACACAGACACACACACACACACACACACACAGACACACAGACAAAACACAUAUUCUGUUGGAUUGAGAACCUGCACAGAGAAGAAUGUCACAAGUCCACGGAGACAGUACCCACAUGGUGCCAUAAUCCCUUUAGUCCCUGCCAUCUUGUGAGAGUGGAGGAAGCUGUAAUCCAAAGCACUGAGAUGUCCUCUCUCCGUAUCAGAAACCUCCUCGCCCCAUCCAGCAUCACAUAGGUGUGUGAUUAGCAUAAAUAAUACUUACAAAUACCUGACCUGGUUGUGGCCAGCAUGAUAUUUUAGCGUAAUUACUCCAGACUGCUGGGCUCAGAGAGGUGUGGUUUGGGAAAUGUUAGACGUGUGUGUUUGCUUAUCUGGACAAGAGG